GAAAGGAAGGGGGAGGUUUUGCAGGGGAUUCUCCUCCCCUACACCUUGAAGGCUCCAAAAAUAACCACAGCGCCGAUUUGUUUUUCUAUUGCGGGGGCGGGUCCUUGAAGGGGCAAAAUUGGUAUUUGGAAAAUUGGAAGCCCUUCUUCCUUUCUCGCAGGCGCCUCUCUCGUCUUUGCAGUCGCACUUCUCUGUUCUCCCUCUCAGCCUCGGGUCUCACUCUAGCUGUCUCAGAGACGCAUCACACAGCCUAAGAGACUCAGACUCAGCUCUCGGUCGGUGUCGAUCGGCCUCGCCGCCUUGGCCUUCAUUCCAUUCCACCCUUCUUCAUUCUCUAACUUCUUCAAUGGUGGCAGAGUAGCAGACUGGGAAUGGGAGCUCGAGCUCAAGCUCGUCUUCGCCUUCGCCUUCGUCUUCUUCACUCUUCACUGAGCUCAGAAGCGAUCGAAGGUUACAUUCUUCACUCUUCUCUGACCUUCGUUUUCUUCACCGUUAAAAACAGUAGCGUCGACCGUCAAGUCUUCACCCUUCUCGUUUUCAUCUUAUCCCCCACUGUCAGAUGCAGAAACGGAACACAUCUAAAAUUCACACCAAAAUCUGCAAAAUGACAGCCAAUUUAGGUGUGUUCGCCACGCACAUAUAUUCACAUGUCGUGGCGCAUGGCAAAGAGCGGGUAGCUGUGGUCUUUAUGCCACAUGCUAUGGCGCAUGUGGCACGAGCCACAACGCACUGUUUUAAUUUUGACCUAAUUUUAUUGACAUAUAUAUGUUCUCUUAGUCUUGGAUGCACCUUUGUAAAUUGCUUCUGCUGUGUAAUAUUAUAAUUUUGAGUAAUUUAUGCAAUGAUUUUGAUAAUUUUUUGUUUUGGGAUCCCAAAUUUUUCAAAUUAAAUGAUUUGAUUGAUUAGUAGAUUGUUAGGAGGAUUGUAUAGUAAUAUCAGUGAAAGCAUUACACAUAUAGUGAAAUUGGCUAUAUAGUUGAAGGCUUGAUUUAUUUGUUU